GACUAUUAGCAGUGAAUAACUCAGCUCCUGCAUUGGUGAAGAGUGCAGCUAGCUGCGAGAAUUAAUGUGAAUUGGAGGACAUUGAUCCUCCACACUUGGAACGCACUUGCAGCCCUUGGUUCCUCCAGGGUCUAUGCCUGUCUGAGCAUCU
ensembl:rRNA 5_8S_rRNA 5.8S ribosomal RNA